UACUACAGCCAUGCCACCCUGAACAAAACAAGCCCAAUGUCUGAUCUCAGAAGCUAAGCAGAGUCAGGCCUGGUUAGUACUUGGAUGGGAGACCACCUGGGAUGACCAGGUGCUGUAGGCA
rnacentral:rRNA from 1 species